UACGUAGGGGGCAAGCGUUGUCCGGAAUCAUUGGGCGUAAAGCGCGUGUAGGCGGCCCGAUAAGUCCGCUGUGAAAGUCCAGGGCUCAACCCUGGAAUGCCGGUGGAUACUGUCGGGCUCGAGUCCGGAAGAGGCGAGUGGAAUUCCUGGUGUAGCGGUGAAAUGCGCAGAUAUCAGGAGGAACACCUAUGGCGAAGGCAGCUCGCUGGGACGUUACUGACGCUGAGACGCGAAAGCGUGGGGAGCAAACAGG
rnacentral:rRNA from 1 species